AUUGAACGCUGGCGGCAGGCCUAACACAUGCAAGUAGAACGAGUGGCGGAUGGGUGAGUAAUGUCUGGGAAACUGCCUGCUGGAGGGGGAUAACUACUGGAAACGGUAGCUAAUACCGCAUACUAUCAGAUGCGCCCAGAUGGGAUUAGCUUGGUGGUGGGGUAACUGCUAACCAAGGAGACGAUCCCUAGCUGGUCUGAGGGGAUGACCAGCCACACUGGAAUGGAGACACGGUCCAGACUCCUACGGGAGGCGGCGGUGGGGAAUAUUGCACAAUGGGCGCAAGCCUGAUGCGGCCAUGCCGCGUGGAUGAAGAAGGCCUUCGGGUUGUAAAGUACUUUCAGCGGGGAGGCGUUACCCGCAGAAGAAGCACCGGCUAACUCCGUGCCAGCAGCCGCGGUAAUUC
rnacentral:rRNA from 1 species